AUUUAAAUAAUUUAAUUAAAAAUAUUGAUUUGUGGUAUCAAAUAUGUGGAGAAAUUCAUUUUAAGUU
rnacentral:tRNA from 1 species